AUUGAACGCUGGCGGCAUGCUUUACACAUGCAAGUCGAACGGCAACACGGGGGCAACCCUGGUGGCGAGUGGCGAACGGGUGAGUAAUACAUAGGAACGUAUCCUGAAAUGGGGGAUAGCUCGGCGAAAGCCGGAUUAAUACCGCAUACGAUCUACGGAUGAAAGCAGGGGAUUCGCAAGAACCUUGCGUUUCUGGAGCGGCCUAUGUCUGAUUAGCUAGUUGGCGGGGAAAAGCCCACCAAGGCGACGAUCAGUAGCUGGUCUGAGAGGAUGAUCAGCCACACUGGGACUGAGACACGGCCCAGACUCCUACGGGAGGCAGCAGUGGGGAAUUUUGGACAAUGGGGGCAACCCUGAUCCAGCCAUGCCGCGUGAGUGAAGAAGGCCUGGUGU
rnacentral:rRNA from 1 species